rnacentral:lncRNA from 1 species
AAUUGUACAGACUAGAAAGGACUAAUACCACUCAGCUCCAUCCAUCCUAGCACGUUUGAGAAUGAAAGCAGCAGGACUAAAACAACUCAGCUCCAUCCUGGCAUAGUCGAGAAUGGACAGCAGUAUUUCAAUGCCACAUCAUGCACUACCACCUGGAGUUGGCCCCAUGUUUCUGAGAGCCAGGGAAUGCUUGGGCCUCCAUUCUGUCCGUCCCUUCACAAGUUCGGUCCCACAUUCCAGCUGCAGCAGAUGCUGGCACUCAAUGCCAGCUUCUGGUAAGCCAUCAGUUAAGUCAUUCGAGACGGCAGUGAGGGAUUGCAACACGCUGUCCCUCCCACACUCCCUCCUAUAUUCCAGAGACAUGCUUGCAAGCUCAUGAUUCUCCAGGAAUGAUAUUGGAGCACUCU